CUCAGGAUGAACGCUAGCUACAGGCUUAACACAUGCAAGUCGAGGGGCAGCAUUAUCGAAGCUUGCUUUGAUAGAUGGCGACCGGCGCACGGGUGAGUAACGCGUAUCCAACCUUCCCUAUAGUAGAGAAUAGCCCGGCGAAAGUCGGAUUAAUGCUCUAUGUUGUAUUUAGAGGGCAUCUGAAGAAUACCAAAGGUUUACCGCUAUAGGAUGGGGAUGCGUCUGAUUAGGUAGUAGGCGGGGUAACGGCCCACCUAGCCGACGAUCAGUAGGGGUUCUGAGAGGAAGGUCCCCCACAUUGGAACUGAGACACGGUCCAAACUCCUACGGGAGGCAGCAGUGAGGAAUAUUGGUCAAUGGACGGAAGUCUGAACCAGCCAAGUAAGCGUGCAGGAUGACGGCCCUAUGGGUUGUAAACUGCUUUUAUAUAGGGAUAAAGUCGGGGACGUGUCCCCGUUUGUAGGUACUAUAUGAAUAAGGACCGGCUAAUUCCGUGCCAGCAGCCGC
rnacentral:rRNA from 1 species